rnacentral:lncRNA from 1 species
CCAAUCUCCGCCGGCAAAGCAGAGGCUUUGGGGAAUUACAGAAAAACUAUAAUGAUCUAAAAGAGAACAAGUUAUCUUGAACUGUGCGGGUAUUUGAAUCAUACAGAAAAUUGUCCUGUGUGUCCAAUGCACUUUUGCAUGUAGAGCCAGGGCCUUCGAGGAAGCUUUCAGGAGAUCCCGGGCAGCGGAGUCUGGUCUGGAGUUUCAUUUCCGUAGGUGCAGAUUUCUCCCCAAGCCUUCCCGCCAUGGGCUUUGCAAGAAGCCAGGGCCCAGAGGCCACGCUCACCGUUAACACUGCACAGGGCAAAGAUGGCUCCAGGACAACUGCCCAACCCCAGGAACGACCCAGCAGCAGAGAAAAGGACAGCUGCCAGGUUGUAAAUGCUGCCGCCACGAGGCCUGGGAGGAAGGACCCGCUGGUGAGAGCACAGGGAGUGCUGCUGUGAUCACGGUGGUGAUGCGGGGUUUUUAGUUGCCGAAUAGGGAAGGGUUUGCGAAGCCGCUGCCCUGGGCCGAGGUGCAUUUUACGCUUCCAGAGGUCGAGGCCUCCAGAGACCGCGAUGCCCAGGGCGUUCCCGGGGAGGCUGAGAGACCCAGGGUGCUCUGGGUGACUGCACGGCGACUCCUCGGGAACCCACUCGUGGCUGCCCGCUUGGAAGGGCUUUGCGGCUCCGGGAACGAUCUCCAGGAUCUCCACGGCUGGUCAGGUUCCCUGUCCCUCGUAUCCCGC